UACGUAGGGGGCGAGCGUUGUCCGGAUUUAUUGGGCGUAAAGAGCUCGUAGGCGGUUCGAUAAGUCGGACGUGAAAUCUCCACGCUCAACGUGGAGGGGCCGUUCGAUACUGUCGUGACUCGAGUCCGGUAGGGGAGUGUGGAAUUCCCGGUGUAGCGGUGAAAUGCGCAGAGAUCGGGAAGAACACCCGUGGCGAAGGCGGCCAGCUGGGCCGGUUCUGACGCUGAGGCGCGAAAGCGUGGGGAGCAAACAGG
rnacentral:rRNA from 1 species